CUAAAAUGUAAGUUAAUGUAUGUUUAGAAAAAGAAAAAAAAACAACGGAUUUCUCUUCACAGAUAGGCAAUCUUGACAAUAGGAGUUGUCAUCAUGAAAUGAAGAAAAUUGACCACACAACUAAGUAAAUUUUUUUGGACAAUGUAGGUAAGGUCAUCUAAAAAGAUUGAUUAAUUUAGUAAUAAUAUUUGACUAUCUUUCAAAGCACAAAGAUAGUACUAAUAUUGGGUAGGCUCAUUAAAUGCAAAGCAAUAAAUUUGGUAAAUCAUGAAAUGAAGAAAAUUUACCACACAACUAAGUAAAAUUUUUUGGACAAUGUAGGUAAGGUCAUCUAAAAAGAUUGAUUAAUUUAGUAAUAAUAUUUGACUAUCUUUCAAAGCACAAAGAUAGUACUAAUAUUGGGUAGGCUCAUUAAAUGCA
rnacentral:lncRNA from 1 species